UACGUAGGGUGCGAGCGUUAAUCGGAAUUACUGGGCGUAAAGCGUGCGCAGGCGGUUUUGUAAGCCAGAUGUGAAAUCCCCGGGCUCAACCUGGGAACUGCAUUUGUGACUGCAUAGCUAGAGUACGGUAGAGGGGGGAUGGAAUUCCGCGUGUAGCAGUGAAAUGCGUAGAUAUGCGGAGGAACACCGAUGGCGAAGGCAAUCCCCUGGACCUGUACUGACGCUCAUGCACGAAGGCGUGGGGGAGCAAACAGG
rnacentral:rRNA from 1 species